GUGAAGAACGGCAAGAAGAAGAACAGGUAGUUUCCUAUACACCCAUCUCUAUCACCGACUUCUAUUAACCUAAUUUUGUGCAUUUACCCCAUAAUUUCUCUUUCUGACACCAUUAUUAGCGACUCCGGACGACAAAUCGAAGACUCCUACAGAUCCGUAUGCAACAGUACGCGACGACCAUAUGCGACGGUUCGGAAUUCUUCCAUGGUUGAUUAUUCAAAAAUGGAGUUUGUAAACAAGCUUGUUUUUUAGAUCUACAGAUCUAUAGUCGCACUAUUUGUUGACUCAUAAAUAUUUUUUCGUAUGAAAUUUGUUUUAUCAGAGUCCACAACAAAGAAGAGAUCAUUGUUGUCGAAAAACUUAAAAAUUUACAGUCAUAUAUCCGAGUCAACUAUAAAAUCGGAUAGUCCACUAUAUUUUUUC
rnacentral:lncRNA from 1 species